rnacentral:lncRNA from 1 species
ACAGGUGAUGCAGAUGGUGGUGGUGCUACUGCUGCUGCUGCUGCUGCGGGAGCGGCUGUUGCCGUCAGCGAUGCCGCCGAUGCCGGAACUGCCGCUGGACGAACCGGCGCGGCGACGAAGGUAGGGGACGCGAAGGCCUUCAAUAUGAAAUGACCAGGCACACUGACAAUGGACGAGCAGCGGCUUAGAAUGCCGCGUACGCCGCUGGCGUUGCCGGGCCGUACUCCAGCCCAGCGGCCACUGGCGGCCGCAGUAGCGGGUUCCGCGCCGUCGGGCUCGGC